rnacentral:rRNA from 1 species
GAUGAACGCUGGCGGCGUGCCUAAUACAUGCAAGUCGAGCGAACGGACGAGAAGCUUGCUUCUCUGAUGUUAGCGGCGGACGGGUGAGUAACACGUGGAUAACCUACCUAUAAGACUGGGAUAACUUCGGGAAACCGGAGCUCAUACCGGAUGAUAUUUUGAACCGCAUGGUUCAAAAGUGAAAGACGGUCUUGCUGUCACUUAUAGAUGGAUCCGCGCUGCAUUAGCUAGUUGGUAAGGUAACGGCUUACCAAGGCAACGAUGCAUAGCCGACCUGAGAGGGUGUACGGCGACACUGGAGCUGAGAGACGGUCCAGACUCCUACGGGCGGCAGCAGUAGGGAAUCUUCCGAAAUGGGCGAAAGACUGACGGAGCAGCGCCGCGUGAGUGAUGAAGGUCUUCGGAUCGUAAAACUCUGUUAUUAGGGAAGAACAUAUGUGUAAGUAACUGUGCACAUCGUGACGGUACCUAAUCAGAAAGCCACGGAUAACUACGUG